AGAGUUUGAUCCUGGCUCAGGGCUAACGCUGGCAGCGUGCCUUAGCCAUGCAAGUCGAGCGGGGGGAUCCCUUUUGGGGUUCCCUAGCGGCGGACGGCGGAGUAAUACACGGCUAACCUGCCCUGGGGAGGGGGACAACCUGGGGAAACCUGGGCUAAUCCCCCAUACGCUCUCUGGGGGGCAUCCUCUGGGGAGGAAAGGGCGGUAAGGGGAAACUCUUACCGUUCGCCCUGGGAGGGGGCCGUGGCCCAUCAGGUAGUUGGUGGGGUAAAGGCCCACCAAGCCUGAGACGGGUAGCCGGCGUGAGAGCGCGGCCGGCCCGAGGGGCACUGAGACACGGCCCACACCCCUACGGGGGGCAGCAGUGGGGAAUCGUGGGCAAUGGGCGAAAGCCUGACCCCGCGACGCCGCGUGGAGGAAGAAGCCCUUCGGGGUGUAAACUCCUGUCGGGGGGGAAGAUGCUCACAGAGGCGAAUAGUCUCUGUGGGUGACGGUACCUACAGAAGAAGCCCCGGCUAACUUCGUGCCAGCAGCCGCGGUAAUACGAAGGGGGCUAGCGUUGCUCGGAAUUACUGGGCGUAAAGGGAGCGUAGGCGGACAUUUAAGUCAGGGGUGAAAUCCCGGGGCUCAACCUCGGAAUUGCCUUUGAUACUGGGUGUCUUGAGUGUGAGAGAGGUAUGUGGAACUCCGAGUGUAGAGGUGAAUUCGUAGAUAUUCGGAAGAACACCAGUGGCGAAGCGACAUACUGGCUCAUUACUGACGCUGAAGGCUCGAAGCGUGGGGGGAGCAAACAGGAUUAGAAUACCCUUGGGUAG
rnacentral:rRNA from 1 species